CUCGGGGACCUCCUGGAUCCUCCCGGGUCCCGCUGGUGGUGGGUGCUCGGUGACACCGGGGGGGGGAGGGCGUGUCCAGGGUGCGUCCAGGGGGUGUCCAGGUGGGUCCAGGUAGGUCCAGGGUGGGUCCAGGUGGGUCCAGGUGGGUGCAGGCCGUGUCCAGGCGUCCCCAGGUGUGUCUGGACAUGUCCAGCUCUGUCCACUUGUGUCCAGGGUAGUCCUGGGGAUACCUGGCUUUGUCCAGGGUGGUUCCAGGGGUAUUUGGCUGUAUCCAGUUGUGUCCAGGCUGUGUCCAGCUGUGUCCAGAGUGGUUCCAGGGGGUAUCUGGCCGUGUCCGGCUGUGUCCGGGGUGGUUCCAGGGGGUAUAUGGCUGUGUCCAGUUGUGUCCAGGCCAUGUCCGGGGGUAUCUGACCGUGUCCAGCUGCGUCUAGGGUGGUUCCAGAGGUAUCUGGCCAUGUCCAGUUGUGUCCAGGGCGGUUCCAGAGGUAUCUGGCCAUGUCCAGUUGUGUCCAGGGUGGUUCCCGGGGGUAUCUGGCCAUGUCCGGCUGUGUCCGGGAUGGUUCCAGAGAGUAUCUGGCUGUGUCCAGUUGUGUCCAGGGUGGUUCCAGGA